AGUGAACGCUGGCGGUAGGCCUAACACAUGCAAGUCGAACGGCAGCACAGUAAGAGCUUGCUCUUACGGGUGGCGAGUGGCGGACGGGUGAGGAAUACAUCGGAAUCUACUUUUUCGUGGGGGAUAACGUAGGGAAACUUACGCUAAUACCGCAUACGACCUACGGGUGAAAGCAGGGGAUCUUCGGACCUUGCGCGAUUGAAUGAGCCGAUGUCGGAUUAGCUAGUUGGCGGGGUAAAGGCCCACCAAGGCGACGAUCCGUAGCUGGUCUGAGAGGAUGAUCAGCCACACUGGAACUGAGACACGGUCCAGGCUCCUACGGGAGGCAGCAGUGGGGAAUAUUGGACAACGGGCGCAAGCCUGAUCCAGCCAUACCGCGUGGGUGAAGAAGGCCUUCGGGUUGUAAAGCCCUUUUGUUGGGAAAGAAAAGCAGCAGGUUAAUACCCCGCUGUUCUGACGGUACCCAAAGAAUAAGCACCGGCUAACUUCGUG
rnacentral:rRNA from 1 species